rnacentral:rRNA from 1 species
UACCUUGUUGAUCCUNCAGUAGUCAUAUGCUUGUCUCAAAGAUUAAGCCAUGCAUGUGUAAGUACAAGCCGAUGUAAGGUGAAACCGCGAAUGGCUCAUUAAAUCAGCUAUGUUUCAUUGGAUCUGUACCCCCACUUACUUGGAUAACUGUGGUAAUUCUAGAGCUAAUACAUGCACACAGAGUCCCCGACCGCAAGGGAGGGGCGCUUUUAUUAGUCCAAAACCGGUCGGGCCUCGGUCCGUAACCCACCUGUGGUGAAUCUGAAUAACUUUGAGCUGAGCGCACGGUCUCCGCACUGGCGCCGCAUCUUUCAAGUGUCUGCCUUAUCAGCUUUCGAUUGUAGGUUAUUCGCCUACAAUGGCUAUAACGGGUAACGGGGAAUCAGGGUUCGAUUCCGGAGAGGGAGCCUGAGAAACGGCUACCACAUCUAAGGAAGGCAGCAGGCACGUAAAUUACCCAUUCCCAGACUGGGGAGGUAGUGACGAAAAAUAACGAUGCGAGACUCAUCCGAGGCCUCGCAAUCGGAAUGAGUACACUUUAAAUCCUUUAACGAGGACCCAUUGGAGGGCAAGUCUGGUGCCAGCAGCCGCGGUAAUUCCAGCUCCAAUAGCGUAUAUUAAAGUUGUUGCGGUUAAAAAGCUCGUAGUUGGAUUACAGUUCCGGACUGACGGUUCACCGCCCGGUGCUUACUGUCACGCUCCGAACAGCCUGAAACAUGGCCCCGCCGGCUCGCCCGGGGUGCUCUUUACCGAGUGUCCCGAGUGGCGGGCAUGUUUACUUUGAAAAAAUUAGAGUGCUCAGAGCAGGCUACAUGAAUUGGCCUGAAUGUCUAUGCAUGGAAUAAUGGAAUAGGACCUCGGUUCUAUUUUGUCGGUUUUCUUCGGAACCCGAGGUAAUGACUAAUAGAAACAGGCGGGGGUAUUAGUACUGCGACGCUAGAGGUGAAAUUCUUGGACCGUCGCAAGACUAACAACUGCGAAAGCAUUUACCAAGGAUGUUUUCAUUAAUCAAGAACGAAAGUUAGAGGUUCGAAGGCGAUCAGAUACCGCCCUAGUUCUAACCAUAAACGAUGCUGACUAGCAAUCCGCCGGCGUUAUUCCCAUGACCCGGCGGGCAGCUUCCGGGAAACCAAAGUCUUUGAGUUCCGGGGGAAGUAUGGUUGCAAAGCUGAAACUUAAAGGAAUUGACGGAAGGGCACCACCAGGAGUGGAGCCUGCGGCUUAAUUUGACUCAACACGGGAAACCUCACCAGGCCCAGACACUGGAAGGAUUGACAGAUUGAGAGCUCUUUCUCGAUUCAGUGGGUGGUGGUGCAUGGCCGUUCUUAGUUGGUGGAGUU